CUGACCUCAAGCGAUCCACCCACCUUGGCCUCCCAAAGUGCUGGGAUUACAGGCGUGAGCCACCGCACCCGGCCGAAGGCUUCUCAGUUUAAAGCCAUUGUUCUUUCAAGAUUUUGGAAGCAUUGCCUUCUACAGAAUCCACAGUAGUCCGAAGCUCUUCUACAGUUUUUGUCAAACUUUGAUUUUCCAUCUCUAACUUCAAUAAUCUACUUGAUGUCAACUCAUUCACCUCAUGGCCCAGGGAUUUCUGUGGUGCUAUAAUAUUGAAAAAUACACCAUUGUAUUUACUCUU